GGACUACCCGGGUAUCUAAUCCUGUUUGCUCCCCACGCUGUCGCGCCUCAGUGUCAGAACUGGUCUAGCUGGCCGCCUUCGCCACGAGUGUUCUCCCCCAUCUCUACGCAUUUCACCGCUACACAGGGAAUUCCACCAGCCCCUCCCAGCCUCAAGUCCUGCAGUUUCCACCGACAAAAUACGGUUGAGCCGUACGCUUUCACGGUAGACAUACAGAACCACCUACGCGCCCUUUACGCCCAAUGAUUCCGAACAACGCUUGCCCCUUCCGUAUUACCGCGGCUGCUGGCAC
rnacentral:rRNA from 1 species